UACGAAGGGUGCAAGCGUUACUCGGAAUUACUGGGCGUAAAGCGUGCGUAGGCGGUUUGUUAAGUCUGUCGUGAAAGCCCCGGGCUCAACCUGGGAAUGGCGAUGGAAACUGGCGAGCUAGAGUACGGUAGAGGAGAGUGGAAUUCCCGGUGUAGCAGUGAAAUGCGUAGAGAUCGGGAGGAACAUCAGUUGCGAAGGCGGCUCUCUGGACCAGUACUGACGCUGAGGCACGAAAGCGUGGGGAGCAAACAGG
rnacentral:ncRNA from 3 species